rnacentral:rRNA from 1 species
UGGGGAAUUUUGGACAAUGGGGGCAACCCUGAUCCAGCCAUGCCGCGUGCAGGAAGAAGGCCCUAUGGGUCGUAAACUGCUUUUGAACAAGAGAAAACCCCGGUACGUGUACUGGGUUGAUAGUAUUGUUAGAAUAAGCAUCGGCUAACUUCGUGCCAGCAGCCGCGGUAAGACGAAGGAUGCAAGCGUUAUCCGGAUUCAUUGGGUUUAAAGGGUGCGUAGGCGGACUGAUAAGUCAGUGGUGAAAUCUCUCGGCUUAACCGAGAAACUGCCAUUGAUACUGUUAGUCUAGAGUACAGAUGAUGUGGGCGGAAUAUGACAUGUAGUGGUGAAAUACUUAGAUAUGUCAUAGAACACCGAUUGCGAAGGCAGCUAACGAAACUAUAACUGACGCUGAGGCACGAAAGUGCGGGGAUCAAACAGGAUUAGAUACCCUUGUAGUCCCUGAGCGGGCUGGCAAGGCGCAU